CGGCCUCGGAAGGCGUCGGCCGGGGGCUGGGCUGGGCUGGUUCCGUCAGAGGCUGCUGGUUCCGUGGUGGGUGAGCGGACGGGCUCCGCGGCCGGCAGCGCCCUCGUAUACGCUCUCUGCCCGUCGGCUUUUUUAUCUCUCUUCAGCGUCUCUCUGGGGUUUGUGAGAGAUCGAUGAAGCUCUAAACCAGACAGAUCCCUGUAACUGUUGUCUGCGUGGUGUAUGAAAUCCUGUUGUUCCUACUUUGUGGCUUUGUAGCUCACGCUCUGCCCCGCGGCCAGCCGCACAGUUGUAGCAAUGGCUUCAGGAACAGCGCUGAUUUAUGAUGAGGAGAUGACCAGUCACAAACUACUUUGGAGUGAUCCCAUUUGUGAUAUUGAAGUGCCAGAAAGACUUUCAUCCUCCUAUGAGCAGCUUAGAAGUUACCAUCUUGUGGAAAGGUGUGUCCAUGUGCCUGCCAGAGAAGGAAGCGAGGAGGAGAUCCUGUUGGUUCACAGUUUUGAGCACUUGGAAGUGGCAAAAAGCACUCAGACAAUGAAUGAGGAUGAGCUGAAAAGGGUCUCUGAAAAUUAUGAUGCAUUUUUCUUUCAUCCGAGCAGUUACCACUGUGCCAGACUAGCAGUAGGAGCAGCUUUGCAGCUGGUGGAUGCUGUGAUGGCAGGAAAAGUACGCAAUGGAAUGGCAUUAGUCAGACCUCCAGGUCACCACAGCCAGAGGAAUGCAGCUAACGGGUUCUGUUUGUUCAACAACGUGGCUAUUGCAGCAGAAUAUGCAAAACAGAAAUAUGGUCUGCAGAGAAUCCUAAUUGUUGACUGGGAUGUGCACCAUGGGCAAGGAACUCAAUAUAUAUUUGAAGAAGAUCCAAGUGUUUUGUACUUUUCUUGGCACCGCUAUGAACAUCAGGAAUUCUGGCCAUCACUCAAAGAAUCUGAUUACGAUGCUGUGGGUCUGGGAAAAGGAAAAGGUUUUAACAUAAAUUUGCCUUGGAAUAAGGUUGGGAUGGGAAAUUCAGAUUAUCUUGCUGCGUUUUUCCAUGUGUUGCUUCCGAUGGCUUUUGAGUUUGAUCCUGAACUGGUUAUUGUCUCCUCUGGAUACGAUUCUGGAAUUGGUGACCCUGAAGGUCAGAUGAAUGCCACUCCUGAGGUUUUUGCCCACCUUACCCAUUUCUUGAUGCAGUUAGCUAAUGGAAAGCUGUGUGUCAUCCUAGAGGGUGGAUACCACUUGAAAUCAUUGGGUGAAUCAGUGUGCAUGACUGUAAAAACUUUGCUUGGAGAUCCUGUGCCUCAAAUAACUGGAGAAAUGGCACCUUGUCUAAGUGCUGUUGAAUCUAUUCAAAAUGUGAGAGCAGCACAUAAACCCUACUGGAAAUGGUUGGCUUAUGAAGAUACAUCAUUUGUGCAAAAUUUGAGCACCAAAUCACACUUAAAGAAGGCUAAUUCAAAUCCCUCCACAGAAGAUGAAUCUCAGAUAACUAAAAACAACACUGUCAAAGUGGAAAGGUUUUUGGAAUUGCACAUGCAAAAUAUUCUAUUUCCAGUGCCUCCCAUCAAAACAGCAACAACUGGCUCUGAAGGUUCAGAACAUUUGCUUCCUGAACACGUUCAUCUGGUGAAGGAAAUGGACAAAACAGAAAUAAAAGCUCUUGUCAGUGACUUUUAUGCAGACCUUGUGAAAGAGGACAAAACUUUGCUCUCUCUUGGCAGUAUGUUUGUGAUCCUAGAUAAAAUACUUAAGAAGGAGGUGUGCAAUGGAAUUGCAGCAUCACCCACAGCUGCUCUUUCUGCUGCUGUUGCACUAAGACAUUCUGUUCGUUUUGGAUUUCAAAGAGUGCUUUGUGUAUUUGUUGGAGACAUGCAGAUGAUACCCAACACAGAAGAUGGAAAAAUGCUUGUCAUAAACAUCUGUGAGAAAGAACAGUCUAGAAAGACCAGCUCCAAACACUAUAUUUCUCUAAACUGGAAAGAGGAUGCUGGAGGAAAUGAUUUCUUUUCUGCUGUACUUGGAUUCAUUCUUCCUGUAGCAUAUAGUUAUCAACCAAACCUAACAGUAAUAGCUGUUGGACCAAACAGGAACCUUGGAAUAAGUGGGAUUUCUCUGCUUGUUGCUUUACUACGAGGAUUAGCUGAGUCUCGAGUUUUUGCUGUGAUUGAGGACACAGAGAUAAGUUUAAUGCAAAGUGUAGCCAAAGCAUUAGUGGGUGCUUCUACACCUCCCUUUGGAAUUUAUGUACCUCCUACCCAAGAAAAAGUAAAUACAAUAAAAGCAUUAAGAGACCAGUUCCAACAGGAAUGGAAAAUGCUUCAAUGUUCAGUGAAGGAUGGGAUUUCCAGAAAUUGAUUUCAUUUCAGAAUCAUUUUACAAAGAAGAAGAAAAGGAAAAUAUGAGGACUUCACUCUGCCCUCUUUUCAAGCAUAAAUUGCCAGUAUAACAAAUAACUCCAAAUCUCCAGAGACAUAGUAGUGACCUAAGGCCACAUCAUGUAAAUUCUCAAAAUUAAACAAACAUCCAAGGCAAUAGCCAUGAUAUGCCUUGUUUUGUAGUAUUCCGGGUAUUAUUUAGGGAUCAUUUUCAAGAGCAUUUUUUUGUUAUUGUGACUUCAAUAAUUUGACAUUUUGAUUUCAAGCACUUCAAAUGAUGUUUAUACUAGUGAUCCUACUGGGUUCAACUUUAUAUCAUGUGGAAUAAAUAAAUCUGUCUUUGCAGCUAUGGAAUUCU